rnacentral:lncRNA from 1 species
CUGGCAUCAACCAUUACAAGAAAAAGAAAGAUGAGUGAACAUAUAAUUGAGGAAGGAGAAAUAUCUUCAUCAAUAUCAAUAGCAUCACUUGCAAGCCGCCUGUGACCUGAUGAUAACCUCGGCAGAAUACAUGAGAUACCUUGGAUUGGAUUUGCCUGGACUCGUGGACUCUGUUUGAAGUUUAUUCUGUGGACUUUGGAUUUCCUUAGGAUUGGCUUUUAAUAC